AGGGCUUGACAUCCCUGACCGCGUAUGAAGUACGUUUUCACCCUCGGGUGGACAGGGAGACAGGUGGUGCAUGGUUGUCGUCAGCUCGUGUCGUGAGAUGUUGGGUUAAGUCCCGCAACGAGCGCAACCCCUAUUGUUAGUUGCCAUCAUUCAGUUGGGCACUCUAGCGAGACUGCCGGUAAUAAACCGGAGGAAGGUGGGGAUGACGUCAAAUCAUCAUGCCCCUUAUGACCUGGGCUACACACGUGCUACAAUGGUUGGUACAACGAGUCGCGAGUCGGUGACGGCGAGCUAAUCUCUUAAAGCCAAUCUCAGUUCGGAUUGUAGGCUGCAACUCGCCUACAUGAAGUCGGAAUCGCUAGUAAUCGCGGAUCAGCACGCCGCGGUGAAUACGUUCCCGGGCCUU
rnacentral:rRNA from 1 species